AUUCGAGUAAGAAUCUCUCACCUUAUUCCCUGUUAUGGAAUUGAAGUUUAAUUAUAAAUAAUACGGUAUUUUGCGUAAUUUAAAAAAUAUCCAUAAUUAAUUACAGAUUACUAAUGAAGCCGGAACCGAUUAUUUAUUACUGUUUGUCAUGUUUUAAUUGCUUGUUUGAUUCUACAGUUUCGAAUGCAUGAUAAUAAAUUAGAAUUGGUAAGAUGAUCCAGCUGUGUUUUCUUAAUGCAUGUCUUUCUUGUUUUGCGUGAUUACAGUUAAAUUGUGAAUUUGAAAAUUAAAUGUAAACAGAAAAUUAUUUGAUUAAGUGAAUGGAUGAAUGAUAGCUUUACUAAAUAUCUUGGGAGAUAGUUGACGGACUGGGUACAUAAGGAACUCUACCGUAAAUGUUACCUCAUAGCGAAUAGGCUAUCGAGAAUUGGUAUUUUGGCGCUCAUACCGGACGGAGUAUGGGGAUGACCCGUUUCACCCUCAUACCAGACGGAAUUUUGAGGGAUGAUAUAUUUUGGUGCUCAUACCGGACGGGGUAUGAGGAUGGCUUGUUUUACCCUAAUAUCAGACGAGGUAUUGAGGGAUGAUAUUUUUUUGGUGCUCAUACUGGACGGGAUAUGAGGAUGGCCGGUUAGUGAAAAAUAUUGAGUAAAGGUUCACACGUAGUGGGGACAUCCCUAUGGACCCCCAUGGAUACCAGUAGGCAGGUAUAAGAAAAAGUUGUUGUUCCGAAUGUUUGAAUAU
rnacentral:lncRNA from 1 species